rnacentral:rRNA from 1 species
CGGUGUUCAACUGGCGUGUCCGCGGGACGUCCUGCCGGUGGGCUUAGCCCGCAAGGGCGGCCCAACUUCAAAUCCCAUCGCGGUGCUCUUCACUGAGUGUCGAGGUGGGCCGGCACGUUUACUUUGGACAAAUUAGAGUGCUUAAAGCAGGCUAAAACUUCGCCUGAAUACUGUGUGCAUGGAAUAAUGGAAUAGGACCUCGGUUCUAUUUUGUUGGUUUUCGGAACCCCGAGGUAAUGAUUAAUAGGAACGGAUGGGGGCAUUCGUAUUGCGACGUUAGAGGUGAAAUUCUUGGAUCGUCGCAAGACGGACAGAAGCGAAAGCAUUUGCCAAAAACGCUUUCAUUGAUCAAGAACGAAAGUUAGAGGUUCGAAGGCGAUCAGAUACCGCCCUAGUUCUAACCAUAAACGAUGCCAGCUAGCGAUCCGUCGACGUUCCUCCGAUGACUCGACGGGCAGCUUCCGGGAAACCAAAGCUUUUGGGUUCCGGGGGAAGUAUGGUUGCAAAGCUGAAACUUAAAGGAAUUGACGGAAGGGCACCACCAGGAGUGGAGCCUGCGGCUUAAUUUGACUCAACACGGGAAACCUCACCAGGCCCGGACACCGGAAGGAUUGACAGAUUGAGAGCUCUUUCUUGAUUCGGUGGGUGGUGGUGCAUGGCCGUUCUUAGUUGGUGGAGCGAUUUGUCUGGUUAAUUCCGAUAACGAACGAGACUCUAGCCUGCUAACUAGGCGUAUUUUCGACAUCUCAAAGGUCCGUCGUCCCGGCCCUCGGGUCGUGGGCGUGCGCGAUUUUUACUGUCGGCGUACUAUCAAUUCUUCUUAGAGGGACAGGUGGCUUCUAGCCGCACGAGAUUGAGCAAUAACAGGUCUGUGAUG